GAUCGUUGUUCCCAAUCUGGGUUCUGAUUUUGUUGGCGAUUUCGAGUACUGUAUUCUUCGAUUGUGCCAAUGCUGAAAACAUGACGGAUCCAAGAUGGAAUAAUAAUCUGAACCCGACGCAGCAGUGGAGGAGCGCCGUGGAAUGCAUGUGGAAUAAUAAAUCGACAGUGUGUACCGAACAACAACAAUUAUCACUGAACUUGACAAUAGAAGUGUCGGACGAGGAGAUGGGCGGGUACUGUGGAAACGGGUGUCUAGACCACACCAUGGGCGUCCUCGACUGUAUUCAUGACGUCAAGCGGGACUUCUGGUUCGCUAACAACUUCGAUACUUGGACGCUCCGCCGCUUCCUCACUGAUAGU